rnacentral:rRNA from 1 species
AGUGAACGCUGGCGGCAGGCCUAACACAUGCAAGUCGAGCGGCAGCGGGUCCUUCGGGAUGCCGGCGAGCGGCGGACGGGUGAGGAAUACAUCGGAAUCUGCCCUGUCGUGGGGGAUAACCUAGGGAAACUUAGGCUAAUACCGCAUACGACCUACGGGUGAAAGCGGGGGAUCGCAAGACCUCGCGCGACAGGAUGGGCCGAUGUCCGAUUAGCUAGUUGGCGGGGUAAAGGCCCACCAAGGCGACGAUCGGUAGCUGGUCUGAGAGGAUGAUCAGCCACACUGGGACUGAGACACGGCCCAGACUCCUACGGGAGGCAGCAGUGGGGAAUAUUGGACAAUGGGCGCAAGCCUGAUCCAGCCAUGCCGCGUGGGUGAAGAAGGCCUUCGGGUUGUAAAGCCCUUUUGUCCGGGAAGAAAUCGUCUGGGCUAAUACCCCGGGCGGAUGACGGUACCGGAAGAAUAAGCACCGGCUAACUUCGUG